rnacentral:rRNA from 1 species
UACGUAGGGACCAAGCGUUGUUCGGAUUUACUGGGCGUAAAGGGCGCUUAGGCGGCUUAACCAGUCACUUGUGAAAUCUCCGGGCUUAACUCGGAACGGCCAAGUGAAACUGUCAAGCUAGAGUGCAGAAGGGGCAAUCGGAAUUCUUGGUGUAGCGGUGAAAUGCGUAGAUAUCAAGAGGAACACCUGAGGUGAAGACGGGUUGCUGGGCUGACACUGACGCUGAGGCGCGAAAGCCAGGGGAGCAAACGGG